rnacentral:misc_RNA from 1 species
GGCGCGCAUAUGAGGGAUAUGCAGGCGGUGAUGCCGCACCCGGCGCUCGGGAGCAAUCAGCUUACCCUGUCGUUCCAGGGCGAGGUGUAUGUGUUCGACUCCGUCUCUCCCGAGAAGGUUCAAGCGGUAUUGUUGUUGCUUGGAGGGCGGGAGUUGACGACGAACUUGCCAUCGGUGCCGUCGGCGGCGAACCAGCUUAGCAAGCGUUCGAAUUUUCCGCAUAGAGUUGCGUCGUUGAUGAGGUUUAGGGAGAAGCGGAAGGAGCGGAACUUUGAUAAGAAGAUCCGGUAUAGCGUACGGAAAGAGGUUGCUUUGAGGAUGCAACGGAACAAGGG